rnacentral:rRNA from 1 species
CGUAGGUGGCAAGCGUUGUCCGGAUUUAUUGGGUUUAAAGGGUGCGUAGGCGGUCUUAUAAGUCAGUGCUGAAAUAUCCCGGCUUAACCGGGAGGGUGGCAUUGAUACUGUAGGACUUGAGUAAAGUUGAGGUAGGCGGAAUUGACGGUGUAGCGGUGAAAUGCUUAGAUAUCGUCAAGAACACCGAUAGUGUAGACAGCUUACUAAGCUUUAACUGACGCUGAGGCACGAAAGUGUGGGGAUCAAACAGGAUUAGAUACCCUGGUAGUCCACACUGUAAACGUUGAUGACUCGCUGUUGGCGAUACACAGUCAGCGGCUGAGAGAGAUCGUUAAGUCAUCCACCUGGGGAGUACGCCGGCAACGGUG